GUGAAUCAUCGAAUCUUUGAACGCACAUUGCGCCCCUUGGUAUUCCAUGGGGCAUGCCUGUUCGAGCGUCAUUUACACCCUCAAGCUUUGCUUGGUGUUGGGCGUCUGUCUACGGACUCGCCCCAAAGGUAUUGGCAGCGGUCCUGCCGGGCCUCCUAAUCGCGCAGCACUGUUCGCGCUUCUUGGAGCCUGUGCGGAUUUUGCAUCCAUCAAGCCCACCUUUUUUUAACUUGACCUCGAAUCAGGUAGGGAUACCCGCUGAACUUAAGCAUAUCAAUAAGCGGAGGA
rnacentral:misc_RNA from 1 species